ACACGACUACAUUAGAUACCCCUGUAGUCCUAGCCGUAAACGAUACUCGCUAGGUGUCGGCCACGGUGCGACCGUUGUCGGUGCCGUAGGGAAGCCGUGAAGCGAGCCACCUGGGAAGUACGGCCGCAAGGCUGAAACUUAAAGGGAAUUGGCGGGGGAGCACAACAACGGGUGGAGCUUGCGGUUUAAUUGGAUUCAACGCCGGAAAUCUUACCGGGACCGACAGCAACAUGAAGGCCAAGCUGAAGACUUUGCCGGAUUAGCUG
rnacentral:rRNA from 1 species